CAGGCACACCGGGAGGCUAAGUUCCUAGCCUCGUGUCGGAACGCCUUCAUGACCCACAUCCUGUGGG
rnacentral:sRNA from 1 species